rnacentral:rRNA from 1 species
GAUGAACGCUAGCGAUAGGCUUAACACAUGCAAGUCGAGGGGCAGCAUGGUCUUAGCUUGCUAAGACUGAUGGCGACCGGCGCACGGGUGCGUAACGCGUAUGCAACUUGCCUCACAGAGGGGGAUAACCCGUCGAAAGACGGACUAAUACCGCGUACACUUGGGAUAGGGCAUCCUGACCCAAGGAAAUGAAAUUCGCUGUGAGAUAGGCAUGCGUCCCAUUAGCUAGUUGGUGAGGUAACGGCUCACCAAGGCGACGAUGGGUAGGGGAACUGAGAGGUUGAACCCCCACACUGGUACUGAGACACGGACCAGAAUCCUACGGGAGGCAGCAGUGAGGAAUAUUGGUCAAUGGGCGAGAGCCUGAACCAGCCAAGUCGCGUGAAGGAUGACUGUCUUAUGGAUUGUAAACUUCUUUUAUACGGGAAUAACAAGAGCCACGUGUGGCUCCCUGCAUGUACCGUAUGAAUAAGCAUCGGCUAACUCCGUG